GACGAACGCUGGCGGCGUGCUUAACACAUGCAAGUCGAACGGAAAGGCCCUGCUUGCAGGGUCCUCGAGUGGCGAACGGGUGAGUAACACGUGGGUGAUCUGCCCUGCACUUCGGGAUAAGCCUGGGAAACUGGGUCUAAUACCGGAUAGGAGCCAUUUUUAGUGUGAUGGUUGGAAAGUUUUUUCGGUGUAGGAUGAGCUCGCGGCCUAUCAGCUUGUUGGUGGGGUAAUGGCCUACCAAGGCGGCGACGGGUAGCCGGCCUGAGAGGGUGGACGGCCACAUUGGGACUGAGAGACGGCCCAGACUCCUACGGGAGGCAGCAGGGGGGAAUAUUGCACAAUGGGCGCAAGCCUGAUGCAGCGACGCCGCGUGGGGGAUGACGGCCUUCGGGUUGUAAACUCCUUUCGCUAGGGACGAAGCUUUUUGUGACGGUACCUAGAUAAGAAGCACCGGCUAACUACGUG
rnacentral:rRNA from 1 species